GCCGAAGUGGUGGAAAUGGUAGACACGCCAUCUUGAGGGGGUGGUGCCUCACCAGGCGUGGGGGUUCAAAUCCCCCCUUCGGCA
rnacentral:tRNA from 1 species